rnacentral:rRNA from 1 species
UACGUAGGGUGCGAGCGUUGUCCGGAAUUAUUGGGCGUAAAGAGCUUGUAGGCGGUUUGUCGCGUCUGCCGUGAAAAUCCGGGGCUCAACCCCGGACUUGCGGUGGGUACGGGCAGACUAGAGUGUGGUAGGGGAGACUGGAAUUCCUGGUGUAGCGGUGAAAUGCGCAGAUAUCGGGAGGAAUACCAGUAGCGAAGGCGGCACUCUGGGCCGGUACUGACGCUGAGACGCGAAAGCGUGGGGAGCGAACAGG